AAGCGAGGCUGUGAAGCGGAGCAAAUCUCAAAAACCGGUCCCAGUUCGGAUUGUAGGCUGCAACUCGCCUACAUGAAGUCGGAGUUGCUAGUAAUCGCGGAUCAGAAUGCCGCGGUGAAUGCGUUCCCGGGUCUUGUACACACCGCCCGUCACACCAUGGAAGUUGGGGCGCCCGAAGUUGCCUAAGAAAUAAGGUACCUAAGGCGAAACCAAUGACUGGGGUGAAGUCGUAACAAGGUAUC
rnacentral:rRNA from 1 species